CCCCAUGUACCCAGUGGGGGAUGGGAGUGGGGUGAGACCUACACCCUUGACCUUGGACUCCUGUGAAGCUGUUUAUGGCCUGACACCAACCCUGGAGAGAUGGGUCUUAACCUGAUUUAGCUCCCUUAUCAGUAUUGAUUGGCCACUGUUAGGCGCUGCUCAUUUGGGCCAGCCUGACUGCCUGAGCACAGAUCAACAUCCCCAGCGCAGCAUGGCAGGGCAAAGGCAGUGCCCUCCUUCCCACCCCCCAGAAUUCACCCAGGCCCCCACUGCACACUUCUCUGGGCCUGCCCAGUUCAGUCAUUCACUGUUCUAGGAUCGGAGGGGACAGGCACACGUGAUGGAGACAGAGCAACCUGCCUACUCCCAUGCAGCCCGGAAGGGGAGACUGACAGGGUAAGGAAGCCAACAGAAAUAGACUCAAGACGAAUCUCAGAUGUGUUGUGUGCAGGAAAGGAAGAAAAUGAGGAGCCAUAGCACAGCCUUGAUGAUAAGAAUGAGCCUGAACCAGCCCCCACCGAGCUUCAGGGUCAAAUUACAAAGGCAUCGGGAGGCUCUAUCUCUUGGCUGUACAUCCAACUUCCUGCCUUGAUGGAGCAGGAAGCAGAAUCCUCUUGCCCCUGGAGCCUAUGGGGCCAUCACAGGGCCAGGAGGUAACCUGAUCUCCAUCACCCAAGUAUCAUGCACGGAGCUGGGGCAAAACUCUGUCAAAGAUCACAAACAAAUUACUCAGUCAAAUGUAUCCGAGCCACCUCUGGUUCCUCACUUUUGUGUACAAGACAAUUGAACUUCUGAUAUUUGGUUCUGGCCCACUCAGCACUUCAGAGCCUUCAGCCGACCAUAACCCUGCCUCCCAGAGCUUAGAUCAAGCCAAAUAAGGAGCUCUACUCCUUUCCCAUAUAUCUGACCUAGCCCAUCACUGAAUUCCAUUUCUGCUAAAUACCGUGAUAGCACAGUGGGUCAGCACCCAAGUUCUGGAGCUACACUACCUGGGUUCAAAUUCUGGUUCUUAAUACUAAUAGGACCUCUAGCAAGUUAUUCGACCUGUGCCUUGGCUUAGUUUUCCCACGUGCAAAAUGGGGUUAAUAAAAACACCCAACAAAUAAAGUUGCAAGGACUCAGUGAAUUAGUACGCAGAAGGGCUCAUCAUAUUGUAAGUUGGCUAUUGGUGCUAUUUCUGGUUUGAUCUAAACACUCUCCACACCCAGAAAGAACACAUCCCAGGGCUUGCAGCAGCUCACACUGCAGACCACACUAAACAGCCCUCCCAACCCCUCUUCUCACCUAUCACCUCUCAGAGAACCAGCUAGAGACUGGCCUGGAAGCCGUUCAACAUAGACAAGGAUGCUCUUUGAAGCUGGCUGGGUAUGGCCUUAAAUAACUCACAAGCCAGCUACCUCCUCUGUUUUCCCUCAUGCCGCACAAAUGGCUUCACUAACUUCAGGCCUCACUUUGAACCCUCACAUCAUUUCCUGACAUUGCUGGUGCCUGGCCUGGAGGCAGCACCUUACACAGUAAGGAAAAGCAGCUGCUCAUUACCUCGCCUCCCCACCUCCAUUAGGAUAAAAAUCACCUCCCAAGAUGGGACUCUACAGCCAGAGGGUGAAUUGGUGACCUCAUUGCUCGGCUCACUAGGUUCCAGGCAUCCCUAAAUGCCAGUGAUCUUUCCUUUCCCUCUGAUGUGUCGAUGCCAGCCUUUCAGUGGCCAGGAUCCCUCCCCUGGCCCCCAGCCUGGUUGUAGAACCACCCUGGCGUGUCAAAGGACUCUGGAUUCCAAAUGGCAUGUUUAGAAGUGUGUUUACUGCCUGUGUUCGUGGUUUUCUACCAUCAGGACACCGACUGUUGAAAGCAAAGUUCAAGCCAGGUUGGUGCAAGUUGCAGAAGCAGAAAAAGGAUUCUACG
rnacentral:lncRNA from 10 species